GUGCCAGCAGCGCGGUAAUACAUAGGGGGCAAGCGUUAUCCGGAAUUAUUGGGCGUAAAGGGUGCGUAGGUGGCCAUUUAAGUCUUUGGUGUAAGUGCAGUGCUCAACGCUGUGAUGCUAAAGAGACUGGGUGGCUUGAGUGUGGUAGAGGCAAGUGGAAUUCCAUGUGUAGCGGUAAAAUGCGCAAAUAUAUGGAGGAACGCCAGUGGCGAAGGCGGCUUGCUGGGCCAUAACUGACACUGAGGCACGAAAGCGUGGGGAGCAAACAGGAUUAGAUACCCUGGUAGUCCACGCCGUAAACGAUGAGUACUAAGUGUUGGAGAAAUUCAGUGCUGUAGUUAACGCAAUAAGUACUCCGCCUGAGUAGUACGUACGCAAGUAUGAAACUCAAAGGAAUUGACGGGACCCCGCACAAGCGGUGGAUCAUGUUGUUUAAUUCGAUGAUACGCGAAGAACCUUACCAGGUCUUGACAUCCCUUGCAAAGCUCUAGAGAUAGAGUGGAGGUUAUCAAGGAGACAGGUGGUGCAUGGUUGUCGUCAGCUCGUGUCGUGAGA
rnacentral:rRNA from 1 species